UGCGUAGGCGGAUUGAUAAGUCAGUGGUGAAAUCUCUCGGCUCAACCGGGAAACUGCCAUUGAUACUGUUAAUCUUGAGUUCGGUUGAGGUAGGCGGAAUGUGUAAUGUAGCGGUGAAAUGCUUAGAUAUUACACAGAACACCAAUUGCGUAGGCAGCUUACUAGACCGACACUGACGCUGAGGCACGAAAGCGUGGGUAGCGAACAGGAUUAGAUACCCUGGUAGUCC
rnacentral:rRNA from 1 species